CGUCUUCCAUUCGUCUUAGUUGCUUUGCUGCGUCAUCCCUGGACAUGCAAUUGCUUCGGUUAAUUAGUGCUUCCCUCUCUAGAUCUCAAGCUUCUACUUUGUGUUUUGCUGCUCUUGAUGUGAUCUUCAUUCUAGUUUUGCCGAGAAUCUCGUCGUCGGAGUCGCAUGGGUCCAAGAUUCCUAAGACCCAUGAUUGGAAUGAAGCUUUGUUUGGCUUCUCAACCAGUGUGAAGCUGAAAAAUUGAGGCUGGGAUACUUUUCAAGAAAAGAUAGGUAGCUGUUGGAACGUGGUUUUCAUUUUGGUUGAGCAUCACCAGUAUAUCUUCACCCUAUGGCAUGUAUACCUUCUUGUAACCAAUCUGAUCAACAUAUUUCUGAUGGUAACUCACAUAUCUGUUCUCAUAAAAAACAUUUUACAAGUAGUUGCAAACGUGACUUCUUGCCCCUUCUGUGCCCGAGUUAAACCAAUAAUUAAAAAAUUGAUAUGAAGAUUUUCGUUUUGCCUUCAGUUAGAUACACUCAACAGAUUUAAUCUUCCUUGUCUGACAAGUCUUGUAGGAUGGAUGGCGUGAAAGGAUUUUCGCUUUAGUGGUAUAAAAUUUUGUUUUUGUACAACCAUCAUCUAUGGUUCUAGCUUGGGAACAAGUUGUCCUCUUAGUUCUUCAUACUCUCUUGACUCCAGUUGAGGCUUUAUUUCAAUAUGUAAAAGCAAAUAAUCCAUUGGUUGUGCUGAAAAUGCUGCUUGACAUCAGGGCCAGAACUAGAAAAAUUUGUGAGGGUGCUAUGCUUUAAAAUUUUAGAAGCGGGCAAAUUUAGAUGAUGAUGCCCGAAGAUGUUGGUUCCACUACCACUGGGCCUUGUAUACUUGGGACGAUAUUACCAACUCUUGACUUCAUUUUGUUUUGUUUCCAUGGGACGUGGUGUUAAAUUAGCAGAUGCUCUUGAUGGACUAGCUGGAGGUACUGCUGCAUUGGCUUUUACUGGAAUGUCGAUAGCUGUACUUCCAAUAUGUUCUGGUAUGCUGACUUGAAGAUCAACAAUUAAUGAAUUACACAUUCAACUUCAAUCAUAUGCUUAAUGAUAAGGGCAAUACUACUAUUUAUGUGUUGUAUGCACAUGCUAGGAUCUGUUCCAUUAUCAGGAAAUAUGGUAAAGGCCUAGAAGAUUUAAAGAAAGUAAGUUUAUUUUUCUUCCAAAGGAGAUGACCUCCCAAUUUAUUAAAUAUAUAUUAUAAAA